rnacentral:lncRNA from 1 species
AGUUGCAUUUGCUAUCAUCCAACAUCUUCUUCUUUUCAUUUUUAUCUCACAAACAUUCAUGUCAUGUCACCAUCAAUGUUUUAACAUAGUUUAUUACCCGGAUCAACUAUCAUACAUUCAUGACAAUUAAUGCUUAAAUAUCGAUACAUUCACAUGCAUGUAUGAACUUUCAUGGAUGUGAUCCUUAAACAAAGAAAUAACAUUCAUUUGGUAAACAAUAUGUAAAUACAAUUCAACUUUAACCUUUGCAUUAUCAAAUAUUUGUACAUGGAAAUCUCCUUAGCGCAUUUAAAGGGUUGGAUUCAAUAGAAUGCAUCCACCACAGACAUCACAUAUCUCUAUGAGUUCUUAUAUAUCUCUAUGUGUUCUUAUACAUCUCUAUGUGUUCUUGUAUAUCUUUAUGAGUCAUCAGGUCAUCAAUGGUCAUCAUUUCAAAUAAUGCUUGGCCCAUGAUUUAAACCUCACACAGGUAUAUGCUUGUAUGCAUCUGACAGUUUCCAUUUUUAUAUACAUUUAUCCCUCUUCUAAAUACCUCACAUUGUCAUAUAUAUAUAUAAGGUGUAAUAGUUAUUUCCAGCAUGUCAAGUAUAUGUCUUUUUAGUGCAUUUCUUCUGAAAACAACUUUUAAGCAUGUACGUCAUACCCGGUAUUUAUGAUGUUUGUCACAAAAAUGUGUUCUCUGC